GUGGGGAAUUUUGGACAAUGGGCGAAAGCCUGAUCCAGCCAUGCCGCGUGCAGGAUGAAGGCCCUCGGGUUGUAAACUGCUUUUGUACGGAACGAAAAGCCUGGGGCUAAUAUCCCCGGGUCAUGACGGUACCGUAAGAAUAAGCACCGGCUAACUACGUGCCAGCAGCCGCGGUAAUACGUAGGGUGCAAGCGUUAAUCGGAAUUACUGGGCGUAAAGCGUGCGCAGGCGGUUUUGUAAGACAGUGGUGAAAUCCCCGGGCUCAACCUGGGAACUGCCAUUGUGACUGCAAGGCUAGAGUGCGGCAGAGGGGGAUGGAAUUCCGCGUGUAGCAGUGAAAUGCGUAGAUAUGCGGAGGAACACCGAUGGCGAAGGCAAUCCCCUGGGCCUGCACUGACGCUCAUGCACGAAAGCGUGGGGAGCAAACAGGAUUAGAAACCCGUGUAGUCC
rnacentral:rRNA from 1 species